GACGAACCGUGCAAACGUUGUUCGGAAUCACUGGGCUUAAAGGGCGCGUAGGCGGACGGCCAAGUCCGGGGUGAAAUCUUUCGGCUCAACCGGAAAAUUGCCUUGGAUACUGGUCGUCUCGAGGGAGGUAGGGGCAUGUGGAACUUCCGGUGGAGCGGUGAAAUGCGUUGAUAUCGGAAGGAACGCCGGUGGCGAAAGCGACGUGCUGGACCUUCUCUGACGCUGAGGCGCGAAAGCUAGGGGAG
rnacentral:rRNA from 1 species